rnacentral:rRNA from 1 species
UGACCUCGGAUCACGUAGGACCCGAUCCCCCUUUUAUC